rnacentral:rRNA from 1 species
UGGGGAAUAUUGCGCAAUGGGCGAAAGCCUGACGCAGCGACGCCGCGUGAGGGAUGAAGGUUUUCGGAUCGUAAACCUCUGUCAGAAGGGAAGAAACCGCACUGUGCUAAUCAGCAGUGCCUUGACGGUACCUUCAAAGGAAGCACCGGCUAACUCCGUGCCAGCAGCCGCGGUAAUACGGAGGGUGCAAGCGUUAAUCGGAAUUACUGGGCGUAAAGCGCACGUAGGCUGCUUUGUAAGUCAGGGGUGAAAUCCCACGGCUCAACCGUGGAACUGCCUUUGAUACUGCUUAGCUUGAAUCCGGGAGAGGGUGGCGGAAUUCCGGGUGUAGGAGUGAAAUCCGUAGAUAUCUGGAGGAACAUCAGUGGCGAAGGCGGCCACCUGGACCGGUAUUGACGCAGAGGUGCGAAAGCGUGGGGAGCAAACAGG